GAUGAACGCUGGCGGCGUGCCUAAUACAUGCAAGUCGAGCGAACGGACGAGAAGCUUGCUUCUCUGAUGUUAGCGGCGGACGGGUGAGUAACACGUGGAUAACCUACCUAUAAGACUGGGAUAACUUCGGGAAACCGUAGCUAAUACCGGAUAAUAUUUUGAACCGCAUGGUUCAAAAGUGAAAGACGGUCUUGCUGUCACUUAUAGAUGGAUCCGCGCUGCAUUAGCUAGUUGGUAAGGUAACGGCUUACCAAGGCAACGAUGCAUAGCCGACCUGAGAGGGUGAUCGGCCACACUGGAACUGAGACACGGUCCAGACUCCUACGGGAGGCAGCAGUAGGGAAUCUUCCGCAAUAGGCGAAAGCCUGACGGAGCAACGCCGCGUGAGUGAUGAAGGUCUUCGGAUCGUAAAACUCUGUUAUUAGGGAAGAACAUAUGUGUAAGUAACUGUGCACAUCUUGACGGUACCUAAUCAGAUAGCCACGGCUAACUACGUG
rnacentral:rRNA from 1 species